CACACUUUGAGAAGAGUGUCUUUCGGGCCAGGGAUACAACUCAGUGGCACAGCACCUGCCUGGGACAUUUGUGGAUACAUGAGAUGCCCCAAGUGAAGUACUUAGUGAAUCUUCAAAAAUUCAUACUCAUUCUGUAAGGUUUAAUGAUCCUUAAUUUAUCAUUUCACUCCAUGACUUUUGAAAAUUCACUGAAAAAUUAAUCUACAAUGUAAUUCUUCAGCUAACUAAUUGAAUCUCUAUCUCUCUCUGGGGUAAGU
rnacentral:lncRNA from 1 species